GUGGAUCCUGUGGGUUGCAGGGUGGGUCCUACCUAGACCAGGCUGAUCCUGGACCAUCCCACAGAUGCUCCAUCAGAUGUGGAUGUGGGGAGUGUGGAACCCAGAUGUUCAGAGGGAGAUGAUGCCACAUCUGGUCCAGCUGAUGGAAGAUCUUGAAGUUCUCUGACUGGCCUGGACUGAAGAUGGUCGUCUCACUGGAUUUAAGGUUCAGAUGCUCAGUAACAAACUCCACCAAUGAGCCAACAGGGAAGCUUUAGGUUUAUUAAAUGUUGCUAUGAAGGUUUCACUGUUUUUCUUUGUGAAUGCAAUGAGCUCCAACUGAAAGUUGAAUUAGAACUUAGAAGUAAAUCCUUCCAUCUGAAAGGAUUUAGUUGCAUUAAUAACCUCAUAACAUUCUAAUUUUUAUUCCAGUCUUGGUUGGAAAUAGAAUCUCUGUAUUGAUUCAGGUAAAAACUGAACUUCACAGCAUGUUGGAGCAAAACAACCAGAUGAAAACUGUGAUGGUGUUGGAUUGUCAGACUGUAAUGUUGCAGCUCAAAGCAGCUUUUCUAGCUCAGUUCAUUCUGACAUUCAGCUAUGAAUCAACACAGCAGAUGGUGAUCCAUGCUGUGGAAGUCUCACAUCUCCUGAUUUAAUGGAGCUGCUUUACACUUUUUACGCUGUUUAUUCACCAACACUUUAUUUAAUAAAAGUCCCAUCUAGUUUUUAUGAGGAAUGUGAUGUUUUACUUUCUCUGUGAAUAACUGCAGUCUAAUGCAACAACUGGAGUUGUAACAUCUGUCCUGAUAUUGAUCAUGAAGUAUUGAUCAGAAUACUUGUGGUCAGCAGUCAUCCCUGAAGUUUUACAUUAAAAUCUUUACUUGUGUUGUGAACUUUGGUAAGAAGCAGAAACGUUAGCGUUGCCAUGGAUACAUGAGUGUUAAAUUCUGUCCAUGUUUGAUUUUGGGAAAUUCAAUCCAGUUCCAGAAUGUGGAGGAAUUUAGUCUCAAUCACAGACAACAAAUAUUAUCUGAAAGUCGGGUUAUUGUUGUUUAUCAUCACAAUACAAAAAGAUUAAUGUUAGAAAUAUUCCAGUUAAGACUCUAGAAUAUCGUGAUUUAUGUAAAUUUACCUCAAUAAUAUGAAUGUUUAGGUUAAAAUCGUGCAGUGAUAUUUAUUAUGUAAUUCAAUUCAAUUCAAUUUUAUUUAUAUAGCGCCAAUUACAGUCAAAUCGUCUCGAGACACUUUACAGAACCCAUAUGCCUGAACCCCCAGAGCAAGCCAAAAGGCGACAGUGGCAGGAAAACACCCUUUUAACAGGGAAAAAAACCUCGAGCAGAACCCGGCUCUAAUGUGGGGGGACCCAUCUGCCUGCUGGCCGGGCGGGUUGAGAGGGACAGAAGAGGUAGAAAGGUAGAGAUAGAGGUAGGGGGUAGAGGUAGAGGGGUAGAGAUAGAGAGGUGGGGGGGACACAAGGCCCAUAAAACACACAGUAUAAUACAUGCAUGAUAAGACAGAUGAUACAUGCAAAGUACAACUAACAUGGAAACUAAUAAUAGUUUACUGCUAUGGUGUACGGCUCUGACAUUAAAUAUACUACAUAUAUAGCUGGUGGUAAAUUCAAAAAUAUGUAGAUGAGCAAAUCAAGUAUAGUGAGGGCAAUGCAGAGUAGAUUGGUGGAAAUGGGCAGCUGGAAGCAGUGGGCUGGAGGAAGGUCAGCAGCAGCAUCCCACAGAUGGAGAUUAGGCCAGUAGGUGGGAGAACCACCACAGAUCUGAAGCAUCCAGCUCUGGGAUCAAGGACACUCGGAGAAAGGACACAGGGAGAAACAGAGUGAAUGUAAUGCAAUAAUGGUAUAUAUAGUAAAUACAUAGGUAGUUAGAGAAGGGCUCAGUGCAUCCAGAGAGGUUCCCCAGCAGCCUAGGCCUAUAGCAGCAUAACUAGGGACAAACUAAAGGACGUCAAGAGGGGAAGUCAGUUGUGCAAAUGAAAAUACCAGCUCACCCCGUCAGGGUCACCCAGUCAGCCCUAACUAUAAGCUUUGUCGAAAAGGAAGGUUUUAAGCCUGGUCUUAAAAAUAGAGAGGGUGUCCACCUCCAGAACCCAAACUGGGAGCUGGUUCCACAGGAGAGGUGCCUGAUAACUGAAGGCUCUGCCUCCCAUUCUACUUUUAGAGAUUCUAGGAACAACAAGUAAGCCUGCAGUCUGAGAGCGAAGAGUUCUGCUAGGAUAAUAUGGUACUAUCAGGUCUUUAAGAUAUGAUGGAGAUUGGUUGUUAAGAGCUUUAUAUGUCAGAAGAAGGAUUUUGAAUUCUAUUCUAGAUUUAACAGGAAGCCAAUGAAGAGAAACCAAUAUAGGAGAAAUAUGAUCUCUCUUGCUAACUCCUGUCAGUACUCUGGCUGCAGCAUUUUGGAUCAACUGUAGAUGUUUCAGAGAGCUAUUGGGACAACCUGAUAAUAAGGAAUUACAGUAGUCAAGCCUAGAAGUAACAAAUGCAUGGACUAGUUUUUCGUCAUCACUCUGAGACAGGAUGUUCCUGAUUUUCACAAUAUUUCUCAGGUGGAAAAAGAAAGUCCUACAGAUUUGUUUUAUGUGUGAGUUAAAGGACAUGUCCUGGUCAAAGAUAACACCGAGGUUCCUCACAGUAGUACUGGAGGCCAAUGUAAUGCCAUCCAGAGUAACUAUAUGCUUUGAAAGCAAUUCUCUAAGAUGUUUGGGGCCAAAUACAAUGACUUCAGUCUUGUCUGAAUUUAGUAGUAAGAAAUUAUAGGUCAUCCAGGUCUUUAUGUCCUUAAUACAGUCUUGCAGUCUGGCUAGCUGAUUAGUUUCAUUUGGCUUCAUAGAUAAAUACAAUUGAGUGUCGUCAGCAUAACAAUGGAAAUUAAUACAGUGCUUACUAGUAAUAUUGCCUAAGUUUGUAAGUAUGUAAGUUUAGCUGAUUAAAGUUUAUGACUCUGCACUAAAAUAUUAUUUAAAUUGACAUCAUUAUUAUAAUAUUUAGGGUCAGACCCUACAGUAUUGAUUAAGAAAUCAAAUAUUCUAUAAAAUAAAUACACUGAACUCAUUUGGAUAUAUUUAAGUGAGACUCUGCAAUAUUAUUUGACACAAAUCUAUCUAAAUCAAAAUUUUAAUCAUUUUUACUCCAAACAUUUACUGGACUGAUUUAAAUAUUAAAAUCAUUCCUUUCUAAUCCUCUGCUGUACGUUCAAACCUGAGGCCUUAAAUAGAAACACACAAGUAUCUGAUUGAAGGAACUUCUGCAGAGUCCUGGUUCCAGAACAUGAUGAUAGAAUUAUAGACAAACUUUAACAAAAGCUGCCUGAGAGUUUACAGGUUUUUAUGUUAGAUUUCUUCACUAAUUUAAUGAACGUUAUCAGCAAUAAUCAAGUGUUCAUUUGAUGAACUUGAUUCCUAAAACAUCCAGAAUUGGAGCUCAUAUCUUUGGCAGCUGUAAAGUUUCUGCUCCUUCAAAGUUCACAACACAAUGAAUGAAUUCCUAAAACACUCUCAAUGCUGGAGAGCGUUUGUGAUGCUGAAGCAGUGACUAGUUUUUCUGUUUCUUCUCUGGAGAUGCACAAUGAGGGACGUCUGCAGAGACUGAGAAAGAGUCUCACCACAUCCUGACAUGAGGAAAAAGACUUUAUUGAAGACUACAAUGAGAAAAACUAUCAGACAGCAGACGGCUGCAUUCAAGUCUGUAGCUGCUGAAUUCAUGGAUGAAUCAUCUGGAACUAGAGAAGAAGACCAUCAAACAUCCAUGUCAGCUGAUGGAGGUCCAUGAGUCUCACCCAACAAGCAACCUACAGAGUGAAGACCUCAAAUCUUGAUUGGACGGCCUCCUAUUCAGCCACAUGUGUGAACAAAUGCCUCUAAGCUGAUUUGUUUUCUAAAAUAAAUCUAGUUUGAGUCCUAAUCUAUGCCUGAGUGUUUGCUUCUUUACACUGCUGUUAACAGUUUAGGCUGUUAGAUUGUUCCAGAUAAGACAAGUACAAGAUUCUUCAGAGCCGUUCUACCACGAGCCUGACAGGAAGAACUCCAACAGCUACUGAAUGUUCCUGUGGUUCCCUCAAGGCUACAGUAGGAGUCCUACGAGGACGAGCCGGUCCACCUGAUGGUGGCCAGUCGCUGUGGUUCAAAGCCAACACCGACUACGUGGACUUCUACUGGACCACAUGGAGGCCUUCAAACCGGACCAACAAGUUCAGCGACUCCCCGACU
ensembl:lncRNA